UACGUAGGGGGCAAGCGUUGUCCGGAAUCAUUGGGCGUAAAGAGCGUGUAGGCGGCCCGGUAAGUCCGCUGUGAAAGUCCAGGGCUCAACCCUGGGAUGCCGGUGGAUACUGUCGGGCUCGAGUCCGGAAGAGGAGUGUGGAAUUCCUGGUGUGAGCGGUGAAAUGCGCAGAUAUCGGGAGGAACACCGAUGGCGAAGGCAGGUCUCUGGGCAUUAACUGA
rnacentral:rRNA from 1 species